rnacentral:rRNA from 1 species
UACGUAGGUGGCAAGCGUUGUCCGGAUUUACUGGGCGUAAAGAGCGCGCAGGCGGCCUGAUCAGUCGAAUGUGAAAGCCCCCGGCUUAACUGGGGAGGGUCAUUCGAUACUGGUCGACUCGAAGGCAGGAGAGGGUAGUGGAAUUCCCGGUGUAGUGGUGAAAUGCGUAGAUAUCGGGAGGAACACCAGUGGCGAAGGCGACUACCUGGCCUGUUCUUGACGCUGAGGCGCGAAAGCUAGGGGAGCAAACGGG